rnacentral:rRNA from 1 species
GACGAACGCUGGCGGCGUGCUUAACACAUGCAAGUCGAACGGAAAGGCCCUGCUUUUGUGGGGUGCUCGAGUGGCGAACGGGUGAGUAACACGUGAGUAACCUGCCCUUGACUUUGGGAUAACUUCAGGAAACUGGGGCUAAUACCGGAUAGGAGCUCCUGCUGCAUGGUGGGGGUUGGAAAGUUUCGGCGGUUGAGGAUGGACUCGCGGCUUAUCAGCUUGUUGGUGGGGUAGUGGCUUACCAAGGCUUUGACGGGUAGCCGGACUGAGAGGGUGACCGGCCACAUUGGGACUGAGAUACGGCCCAGACUCCUACGGGAGGCAGCAGUGGGGAAUAUUGCACAAUGGGCGGAAGCCUGAUGCAGCAACGCCGCGUGCGGGAUGACGGCCUUCGGGUUGUAAACCGCUUUCGCCUGUGACGAAGCGUGAGUGACGGUAAUGGGUAAAGAAGCACCGGCUAACUACGUG